UACGUAGGGUGCAAGCGUUAAUCGGAAUUACUGGGCGUAAAGCGUGCGCAGGCGGCUAUGCAAGACAGAUGUGAAAUCCCCGGGCUCAACCUGGGAACUGCAUUUGUGACUGCAUGGCUAGAGUCCGGGAGAGGAGAGUGGAAUUCCUGGUGUAGCGGUGAAAUGCGCAGAUAUCAGGAAGAACACCCGUGGCGAAAGCGGCUCUCUGGAACGGUACUGACGCUGAGACGCGAAAGCGUGGGGAGCGAACAGG
rnacentral:rRNA from 1 species